GGGCUCCAGUGCGACCCCGCCGCUCGGGUUUGGGUGUCCUCAGGCUCCGCGCUCCUCCUCCCCUCCUCCAGAUGGGACUGGCUCUCCUCUUUGCACAGCCAAGCUCGCGGGGAGACGUGGUGAGCAGUAGCCAGCAGCUGGUGUGCCCUGGACGCUGCUGACCGCCGCGCGCCCGGACCGGGUGUCCACAUGAGUGCCUCUCCCAGCAGAUCCAGCGCCAAGCCGGCCCCCCAACCUGGUCUGCUGAACGCAAACCGCUGAGAGUUUGCUGCACCGCCCCCUGGGGCCCCGGGCUGCCGAGUCCCGCUAAGGCAAAGACGCAGCAAGCCAGGGAGCGCAGCGGAAGAAAAACAAGCGGGCGCGCGAGGGGAGCCCCAGGAGGGCGACCGGGUGGCUGGCAGGCAGCUCCUGCCCCGCCCGGGUGGCCUCGCCGGCGGCUGACGGCCCGGAAGCCUCGCGCUCCGAAAAGUUAGACUCUGGGAGGCGGCGCGCCACGCCGCGUCUCCUCGCGUCCCUUCCUCUCUGUGCUCCGGUAAAGGAACUUGGUCCUCCGGCCCCUGGAGAGGGGAGUGUGCCGCAGGCCGAGGGUGGGGAGCAGCCAACGGGAGACGCGAACGAGUCCGCUGGCGGAGGGCGCAGGGCGAGCGCAGAGGCGACAGCCCCCAUGCCGGCGGCCAACAUGAUGGAGAACCGGCCGCUGCCCGCCCUGCAGGUGCCCGAGCCGCAGGGCGCGCCUGAGGGCAGCCCGGUCUGGUCCAGUUCGUCGACCCCCACGCUUCGCCGCCGGCGCUUCAAGAUGCGCCGCAUGAAGAACGUACAGGAGCAGAGCCUGGAGGCCGGGCUGGCCCGGGACCUACCCGGCGUCUUGGCUCCCGGCAAAGAGUUCUUGCAGCUGCCGUCCAUCGAGAUCACGCCCUCCAGCGACGAAGACACCCCGUGGUCCAACUGCUCCACACCCAGCGCGUCCCCCCGCCGAAAACGCUUCCUCCUCCGCAAGUGGCUGAGGGUGAGGGAGCGGAAGGAGUGCAGUGAAAGCAGCAGCCAACAGAGCAGUCAGCAGAGCAGCCACGAUGAUGAUUCUAGCAGGUUCCUGAGUCCUCGAGCGCGGGAAGAAAGCACUGCCAGUAACUCCAACCGCAGCACUCCGGCCUGCUCGCCCAUCCUCCGGAAGCGGUCUCGCUCGCCAACCCCGCAGAACCAGGACGGAGACACCAUGGUGGAGAAGGGCUCAGAUCACUCCUCGGACAAGUCCCCGUCCACACCGGAGCAGGGCGUGCAGCGCAGCUGCUCCUCCCAGUCCGGCCGGAGCGGCGGCAAAAAUUCCAAGAAAAGCCAGAGUUGGUAUAAUGUGUUAAGCCCCACCUACAAGCAGAGAAAUGAAGACUUCAGAAAGCUCUUUAAGCAGCUUCCAGACACGGAGCGCCUCAUUGUUGAUUACUCAUGUGCACUCCAAAGAGACAUUCUCCUUCAGGGCCGACUCUACCUCUCUGAAAAUUGGAUCUGCUUCUACAGCAACAUCUUCCGCUGGGAAACUCUGCUGACAGUCCGUUUGAAAGACAUCUGUUCCAUGACUAAAGAAAAAACAGCUCGCCUCAUUCCCAAUGCCAUCCAAGUUUGCACUGAUUCAGAAAAGCACUUCUUCACUUCGUUUGGGGCCCGGGAUAGGACGUAUAUGAUGAUGUUCCGGCUCUGGCAAAAUGCUCUCCUUGAAAAGCCUCUGUGUCCCAAGGAGCUGUGGCACUUUGUUCACCAGUGCUAUGGGAACGAGCUGGGCCUGACCAGCGAUGACGAGGACUAUGUGCCCCCUGAUGACGACUUCAACACAAUGGGAUACUGUGAAGAGAUCCCUGUGGAAGAGAAUGAAGUGAAUGACAGCUCAUCCAAGAGCAGCAUAGAGACCAAGCCAGACGCCAGUCCACAGCUGCCCAAGAAAUCCAUCACCAACAGCACACUGACAUCCACAGGGAGCAGUGAGGCCCCCGUCUCGUUUGAUGGGCUGCCCCUGGAGGAGGAGGCGCUGGAGGGAGACGGGUCCCUGGAGAAGGAGCUCGCCAUUGACAACAUCAUGGGGGAGAAGAUUGAGAUGAUCGCUCCUGUGAACUCCCCUUCACUGGACUUCAAUGACAAUGAGGACAUCCCCACUGAGCUCAGUGACUCUUCCGACACACACGAUGAAGGGGAGGUCCAGGCCUUCUAUGAGGACCUGAGUGGCCGGCAGUACGUGAAUGAAGUAUUCAACUUCAGCGUGGACAAGCUCUAUGACCUUCUCUUCACCAACUCACCCUUUCAGCGGGACUUCAUGGAGCAGCGACGCUUCUCUGAUAUCAUCUUCCAUCCAUGGAAAAAGGAGGAGAACGGAAACCAGAGCCGAGUGAUUCUUUACACCAUCACCCUUACCAACCCUCUGGCUCCCAAAACUGCCACUGUCAGGGAGACACAGACCAUGUACAAGGCGAGCCAGGAGAGUGAAUGUUACGUGAUAGAUGCCGAAGUCCUCACCCACGACGUGCCCUACCAUGACUACUUCUACACAAUCAACCGCUACACGCUCACCCGCGUGGCUCGCAACAAGAGCCGACUCAGGUGCGCUGUGUGCAGGGCGCCGGGCAGUCAGAUGGGGGUCCUUACCUUAGAGAACGUUCAUUUGCUCCUGACGGGGAAGGCGGAGGGUCUCCACAGAGCUGCGCUAUCGAAAACAGCCCUGGGGGUUAGUGAAAACCUUUAUCGAGAAGAACUUCUGGAGUGGGCUGGAGGACUACUUCCGCCAUUUAGAGAGCGAGCUGGCCAAAACGGAGAGCACUUAUUUGGCUGAGAUGCACAGACAAUCUCCCAAAGAGAAGGCCAGCAAGACUACGACGGUGCGGAGGAGGAAGCGUCCCCAUGCCCACCUGCGAGUCCCUCACCUGGAAGAGGUGAUGAGCCCGGUCACCACGCCCACAGAUGAGGAUGUGGGCCACAGGAUCAAACAUGUGGCAGGUUCCACGCAGACGCGGCAUAUCCCCGAGGACACCCCCAAUGGUUUCCACCUGCAGAGCGUGUCCAAGCUGCUGCUGGUUAUCAGCUGUGUUCUGGUGCUGCUGGUCAUCCUUAACAUGAUGCUCUUCUACAAACUCUGGAUGUUGGAAUACACCACGCAGACCCUCACUGCUUGGCAGGGUCUAAGGCUCCAAGAAAGGUUACCCCAGUCUCAGACAGAAUGGGCCCAGCUCUUAGAGUCUCAACAAAAGUACCACGAUACUGAGCUCCAAAAAUGGAGGGAGAUCAUCAAAUCCUCAGUGAUGCUCCUUGACCAGAUGAAGGACUCGCUCAUCAACCUUCAGAACGGCAUCAGGUCCCGCGACUACACGUCGGAAAGUGAAGAAAAGAGGAAUCGCUAUCAUUGACAAGGCAGGAACAGGGUGGCUGCAAGAGGCCUGUGCAAUACGUGUACAUAGACCAUAUAAAUAUAUAUAUAAAUAUAUAUAUAUACAGAAUAUAAAUAUAUAUAUUAUAUACAGAUUUUAAAAAAGAGAUAAUGCCUAUGUACCAGGGAGAAGGAGCGGGCCCUCCCGCUCCCUGUGCCGGCCGGAGCAGCGUUUUCCUGGGGUGGAGCAGCUGAGGAGGGCAGGAACCGCCUCUCAGCACCGACCGCCCCGAUCUCCCUCCUCCCACCCUCUGUUCCCCACCCCUUCCCUUGCUGGCCAUUCUUGGCUCUUAGAAGGGAAAUGUUGAGCCAAAGUGACGCCUGUGAAGACCCUAGGUCUCAAAAAGAACUCUCAAGACGGCAUUGCUUAAGGUGCUUGGUUCCCUGAUCCCCUUUUAAUUUGUUUCCAAAAUAAAAGAGAAUCUUUUCUUCCCUACCCCAGGCUUCCCCAGGCCUUCUCUUGGGAACACAGACACAUCAAGGGAGCCCAGUCUAAACUCCUAGGGUUGGCCACCCACGUGAUCCGGACCGUACUGAGCAUCAGAUGGAGAGGAUGCUUAGAAAGCUAGGAAGGCUGCAUUGUGGGGUGGCAGGCUCCCAAGACUCGUGUUCUGAAGGAUACUCUCCUCCAUCACCCCUGCACCUUCCUCCGACCUGUGUAGGGUGUGGACCCAGUAAGGGCUGGGAAUUUCUUACUUUCCCACCCACUUUCUCUCUGGUCUUCUCCCAGGCUGGAUCUGGGCGAAGUGUCACUUUUUAGUGCCUAAAGUCCUAUUGUUUUCUGUGCCCUAAGAGCACAUUGUUUAUUAGCCAGGGUGGAGCAUUUUCGACCUUAUUAAACCUCUUUUAGUGCUUCUAAGCAAGUCAGGUCUGUGGCUCUGAGGCCUUCCCUUGGAGCUGUCAGUGUGAUUUCCAGGAUAAGUCAGGGUGUGCUGGGCCCUCCAGGAUUUGAGAGAGGAAGAGAAGGCCCUUGCCACGUCCGGGGUGCAGGGUUUACCCACAGAACACUGUGAGUGGUGAGCACCAAGAUGGGUUGCCAGCGUCAUUUGCUCUUGGAAUGAACCAGCAUUAGCCAAUGGAGACAACUGUCUGAGAUAGCUUGCACAUGGAAAAAGCAUCUAAGCCAUUGGAGGGAAGGAACUGGCAAAGGUGCAUGUGUUUGGGCAGGAAAAGGCCAAGUGAAAUCUAUGCCCCAAGGGAGUCAUUCCAAAUCCUGAGUUUCUCAGACUUGGGAAUGGGGGUUCUGGCAGGGGAUGGAGUACAAAUCCUGUUCUGGUCUCUGGCCCCACAGAGGUGUAAGAUCAUUAAGGAGUAGAAGGCACUGGCUUGAAAGAGUGAGACAUUCAGGGCCUUUUCAGGGUUGGCCCACUAGCACCAUGCAUUUAUCUGAAUUCACGGGGCCCUCUGGGCACAUUCAUCAUCCCUCAUACACUAACUACUAUUUCUUCAUAUAAUGAUCAAAAGAGUCCCACCAGCUCCAGGCAGAGCUUGUGGAGAUUCAUGAAAGAGUCACAGCCAAUUUGGCAUGCAGAGCUCUUCAGUCUUGCUUGUUCUUCUCCUGGGCUUCUUGAUGCAGGGGCAGAAGGAACCCCAGAUGUCCCAGAUGUCCCAGAACAUCAGCCCAAAAGACAGAAGAUUUUAUCACUCAUCUACCCCACAAAGUUGUAUCUUUCUCUUAGAAUGGCCUUUAAUUCCCUGUGGCAAUUACAGUUUUUGACUUUUCCAUGUGAAGAUAAGGCCUUGGUAUUUCCCUAAGGGCAGGAUCAGAAAACAGGAAGGUCCAUGCCCAGGUCAUCCUCCAAGGGAGGAGGGUGAGGAGGCUCCAAGUCAUCAGCUAGAGCAGGUAUUCCUCUAGAAGAGGAGAUGGGAGGAAAUGCAGUUUCAUGUAAUCCCUGUGAAGAGUGCCUACGCGCACAGCCCAGUGUGUCCUUGUUCACUUCUUGUCUAGGACUUUGGGUAAGGGACAAUGGUAGGGAUCAAGGCUCAUGGGCUCUGAGCCAAAGAAGGAGGCAUGGUGCAGACUGCUGGAAAUCUCCCCCUUGGCACAGUCAGAAGCCAAAACUAUUCCCAGAAAGUUUUUGAAUGCAAAAAUUGGAGAUUCCUGAAUUUAUUCCAUACAUAAUUAUUUACUUAAGUUAUUUAAUUAUGAAAGGUGCCAUGGUGGAACCUGUGGGAUGACUUUAAAAGGGUUCUUUGUUUGGAGUCAAGUGACAGAGCAGACCUGGCUACAGGGAGUUGUUCUGCUUCUGCUUUACCUCUCAGGACCAUUCCCAGGAGGAGAAGGUGGCAGGGAGGGCAGUACUGAGUAUAUCAGAAGAACCCUCCUCCUGGUUUUUUAGUGAUUUGAACCCAGUAGACAAUGUGUGCACAUAGGGAAUGACCUUUAAGAAUUGUGGGUCUCUUGUAGGCUCUCUCUGUACCAAUAAUUUUUUGACUAUCAUACCAGGAGAAAACCAACAACUCUAUUCAUUCCCAAACAAAAUCUCUUCCCCCUUGGUUAAUAGCUUGUGAAAGAGAUCUUAACUCACCCUUGCAGAUACGUCUGGGAGUGAAACAAAUAAAUAGCAUUGUAUUCCUGGCCAUUAGCCUGGCUAGUUGCUGUCUACAAGGGAGCAUCAAAAAAUCACUACUUAUGUAACUUCUUCCAGCCAGUGCUUUUUGUGUUUGUUUUUGUUUACUAGGGACACGCAGGAGUCUUUCUGUAAUGACUCAUAUGGUACAAUGUUUGAGAGUUUGCACUCAAUUUUAAAGAAUUUGCAAUUUCUAAUGAGGUGAAGAACUACUAUAGGAUCUAAGGUUCCAUUACAGCUUACCGUGAAAGAAUUGACAAGACUGGCCUCAGACAAGCUAAUCAUGGGUGCAACUCUCUCCCUUCCCCAUCCACCUCUUUGGGAACAAGAGGAUUACAUCUCAGGCCAGCAAGAUCAGCUGCCUGAAGCUCUGUAUAAGAGCACUGCACUGAUGGUUUGGAGACCUGGGCCUGGGUCCUGACUUUUCCACUGACUAAGCUCUGUGGCCUUGGGCAAGUCAUUCCCGUCUCUGAGCUUCAGUAUCCUCCUGUCACAGGAGGGAGUGGGGCUAGAUCAUCUUUAAGGCAGGUUCUAGCUUUGACAUCAUCUUGGGGGUUAGGCCAGAGGCUGAGAAGACUGGGUGGAAUUUCUCAGUUACUCUGCCAGGAGGGAACAAGCCCAGAGGCUGAAACUUCCCAGUAUUUAGAGGCGUGGUAGGGCAGUGUCUGCAUUCCCAGGAGACCCGGGGUGGUUAAAAUAUAUUCUUUAGGUGGCUAGGAGGGCUGGGGAGGCCCAGUAGGAGAGAGAGAGAGAGAGAGAGAGAGAGAGAUCGAGCUUGAUGUAUUGCUCAGUAUUCACCUAGAAGAGUUUCUUCCUUCUUUGGCCUAGUUUGUGGAGGGAUCUUCCUUUGGACUUUCUCUAAGUUGGGAGAAGAACAUUCUUUUCAAUGGAGCUCAUCUUCUAUCUCUAGGCUCUGUGAAGCCUUUCAUCCAUCUGUCCUUCCUCCUUACUGGUAGAAGAAACAGUGGAGAGAAACCACUUCUGGUCCUAGCACUUCUCUUUGGUCUAGAUAGGGUUUGGAUUUAGUAUGAAGCUUUGGCUAAAACCCUUGGGUUUGCCUUAGAGCACUGACACUAAGAACCUAGACUGACAUGGGGAGGACCAAGAGAGCUCAAGAGAAGUGCUUUGUGAGAAGUGGAUUCUCUCCGUGUCCAUGCCCCCCACCCAAACUUGAACUAUACCUAUUACAUUUCCAGGCAGCAUCCCUAGGAUGAGGUCCUGGAGAAGGGACUAGGGGAAGUAUCUUUCUGGAUGCUUGUGGUCCCAGAAGGGUACUUUCUGUGCCAUACCAUGCUGCUGCUUUAAGCUCUGCAGGGCAGCCAAAGCCAGCCCUUUUCUCCUACUGCCCCCAGGAGAAAUAGCACUCUUCUCCCUCCCCCAGACGGCAGGGCUCUGGUCUCCCUACACCUCAUACCCUGCCUGCCUCCUCCAGGAGGAAACUCCGGGGCCCCUUCCUGAUUCUCCCCACCCUCACCACUUGUCUCUAGGCUAUGGGACAAUCAUCCCAUUCACCACUUCACAUCCUUGACUUUCAUUCCCCCAACCUCCAGCAGGUUGGCCCCAAUCCGCUUCACCUCUGUGUUUUCUUCCAGAAGAUGCAUUUUGGGUCUGAGGAGCACUUUCUUGGAAGGCCAUCUUUUAAGACCCCUGCUUGCUGUCAUAGUGCAGAGCAGGAAUUUGCACACUCUUUAGAGAGCUCCCUUCCCACCGCUCUGCCCAGCCUUGUUACCUCACUUCUGCUCUGGCCAUGGUUGUGAAGGGCCCAGCCAGCUCCCUGUUUUGAUGUUCUGUGCAACAGCUCUGGGGUCUUGUGACUGGAGAUCCUCAGCAGGCCCUGGAGCCCGGACUGGAGUCUUGGCAGCUGAUGAGCAGCACCUUGCCGGCCAGGAGGAGCUGAUGCUGGAUGAUCUCCCCAACAUUCGAAGGCUUAAAGAACAUUGUCAUUCUUCAGCCCUCCUUGCUUCUCUCAAUACAAUAAGACAUUGCAGAAGCAAAAGGGUGGCCUCUGCUCCAGGCAAGGCAGCUGUCUGGGGCAUUGCCUGGGGCUUGGGUGCCACGUGCUGAGAUUGCAUAGUCAAAGCAGCCAUUUUUGCCAACAAUAGCUUGUGGCUCCCCACAUUUUCCUACCCUGCACUCAAGGGCCAGACCACUCUCUGCAUGGACCAGACCAUCUUCCCAAACCCAUGGUGCUUUUUCCCCAACUCAACCUAGACUCCAAGGUGGGGAGGGAUGGGUCAGAGGCCAUAGCGGCCCCUGGAUAAUCCUGACAUGAGGUGGAGUGGGGUGAGGCAGAGGGAGCAGCCCCAACACCUGCACUGGGCCAUCUAUGGGAAAGAACACGGGUCAAGUGCAGUCGAGUUGUCUGGCCGUCUGUAUUUGGAUCUGUAACUGUACUUUGCCUGGCGCUGUGCGCAAGGUCGGAACACUUACUGCUAGUACCUAGAAACACACAAGGCUGCCCAGCCAAAUCUUAAUGUAAAGUAGCUAGAGCCAUGGACGGACGUACAGUAUGAAUUAAAAAGAAAAAAGUAUUGAACUACAAUAA